rnacentral:lncRNA from 1 species
GCCUGAACCAUUUUUAUUUUAAUUUUUUUUUUAACCUGAACCAUUUUUACAUUGAAGGCAUUAUGACACUUCACUCUGAAAUACUUCAUUCUCUUUUGUAAUCACAGUACAAUCAUCAAAAAUCAAGAAAUUUAAAGGGCUUGGUAGCCCACACCUGCGAUCCCAGCAUACCAAGAGGCUGAGGCAGGAGAAUUGCAAGUUUGAGGCCAGCCUGGGCUACAUAGUUAAGACCAUAUCCCAAAAACUAACUGAAUAAUAUUAAAAGGGCUGGGAAUGUAGCUCAGCAUGCUGUGAAUGUGAUCCCUAGUGUCAACAAAAGAAAAAAGAAAAAUUAAGAAACUUAACAUGGAGACAGUGAUAAAUCUAGUCCUUUUUUUCCCCGAAGCACUGACAUAUAGUAGGCAGGUGUCCACCACUAUGGUGUCUGGUCUGCCCAUCCCACUUGCUCUAGCAUUAUAGUAAAUAAAGGCAAAGUUUGUGUUAAUGUAAAAACUAUAUCAAUCAAGGGAAGAAAGUUAAAUUGCUCACUUCUUCACCAUGUAGGCUUGCUAUGAACGCAUCCUCCCAGACUUUUUCUAUACUAUAGACGUUUAUAUGUAGCAUGUCAUAUGCCUCAUGUACGUUCCUAUAUGUUGUCUCUUAUCUUGCUGAAAGCACAGCCUAAGGGAACAACUCUCAACCUACAUGUGGUGACAGGUUUCCUGCCAGCAUCCGUGAGGUGUCUCAGGAACUUGUCAAAAAUGUUAAAGCAAGUACAGUUUGUGAGUCAUUUCCUUUAAAACUCUAGAGUGGCCAGGCAUAGUGACACAUGCCUCUAAUUCCACCACUCAGGAGGCAGAGGCAGGAGGAUCUCUGUGAGUUCAAGGUUGGCCUCAAACUGGUGGCAAUCCCCCUGCCUCAGCUUCCUGAGUAGCUAGAAUCACAGCUUGAAUCAAGCCCAGCUUGAAUAUUUUAGUUUUCCAACUCCAUUUCCUUCCUUGACCUGAACAGCUCAGGCAACAGAGCUAUGGAUCUUUCAAGACCUUUUCCUGAGCAUUCACUGUUCGGACCGGACUGCCACGAUAGGCAGAGAUUGGUGAGGGGCCUGAUUACAGGGCCCACAGGCCUUUGGUUGGACUUCGUGGCUUGUGGAAAGCCAUAAACAUAGCACUCCUGA